UACGUAGGGUGCAAGCGUUGCCCGGAUUUACUGGGCGUAAAGGGCGCGUAGGCGGCCACCGCAAGUCGACUGUGAAAUCUCCGGGCUUAACUCGGAGAGGUCAGCCGAUACUGCGGGGCUAGAGUGCAGAAGGGGCAACUGGAAUUCUCGGUGUAGCGGUGAAAUGCGUAGAUAUCGAGAGGAACACCUGCGGCGAAGGCGGGUUGCUGGGCUGACACUGACGCUGAGGCGCGAAAGCUAGGGGAGCGAACGGG
rnacentral:rRNA from 1 species